UACGGGAGGCAGCAGUGGGGAAUAUUGCACAAUGGGCGCAAGCCUGAUGCAGCCAUGCCGCGUGUAUGAAAAAGGCCUUCGGGUUGUAAAGUACUUUCAGUCGUGAGGAAGGUGUUAAGGUUAAUAACCUUAGCAAUUGACGUUAGCGACAGAAGAAGCACCGGCUAACUCCGUGCCAGCAGCCGCGGUAAUACGGAGGGUGCGAGCGUUAAUCGGAAUUACUGGGCGUAAAGGGCACGCAGGCGGUUAAUUAAGUUGGAUGUGAAAUCCCCGGGCUUAACCUGGGAAUGGCAUUCAAGACUGGUUAGCUAGAGUCUUGUAGAGGGGGUAGAAUUCCGAUGUGUAGCGGUGAAAUGCGUAGAGAUGUGGAGGAAUACCGGUGGCGAAGGCGGCCCCUGGACAAAGGACUGGACGCUCAUGUGCGAAAGCGUGGGGAGCGAAACAGGGAUUAGAUACC
rnacentral:rRNA from 1 species